rnacentral:rRNA from 1 species
UACAGAGGGCGCGAGCGUUGUCCGGAAUCACUGGGCGUAAAGGGCGCGUAGGCGGGGAGGUAAGUCGGGUGUGAAAUCCCUCGGCCCAACCGAGGAACUGCGCCCGAGACUGCUUCUCUUGAGUCCCGGAGAGGAAGAUGGAAUUCCCGGUGUAGCGGUGAAAUGUGUAGAGAUCGGGAGGAACACCGGUGGCGAAGGCGGUCUUCUGGACGGUGACUGACGCUGAGGCGCGAAAGCGUGGGGAGCAAACGGG